rnacentral:tRNA from 1 species
GGAGAUGUCGCAUAGUGGUCUAGUGCACCGCCUUGGAAAGGCGGCAGGCUGGAAACGGUCUCGAGAGUUCGAAUCUCUCCAUCUCCG